GUUUGGCACCUCGAUGUCGGCUCAUCACAUCCUGGGGCUGAAGUCGGUCCCAAGGGUAUGGCUGUUCGCCAUUUAAAGUGGUACGCGAGCUGGGUUUAGAACGUCGUGAGACAGUUCGGUCCCUAUCUGCCGUGGGCGUUGGAAAAUUGAAAGGGGCUGCUCCUAGUACGAGAGGACCGGAGUGGACGAACCUCUGGUGUUCGGGUUGUCAUGCCAAUGGCAUUGCCCGGUAGCUAAGUUCGGAAUCGAUAACCGCUGAAAGCAUCUAAGCGGGAAGCGAGCCUUGAGAUGAGUUUUCCCUGGCACUAUAAGUGUCCUAAAGGGUUGUCGUAGACUACGACGUUGAUAGGCAGGGUGUGUAAGUGCUGCGAGGCAUUGAGCUAACCUGUACUAAUUGCCCGUGAGGCUUAACCAUACAACACCCAAGGGGUUU
rnacentral:rRNA from 1 species